rnacentral:rRNA from 1 species
UAUGGAGAGUUUGAUCCUGGCUCAGACGAACGCUGGCGGCGUGCCUAAUACAUGCAAGUCGAGCG